rnacentral:lncRNA from 1 species
AAAAUCCUCCCAGUUCUGCAGAAGAUACUGCUCUGUGCCGUGAGAAGAGAGAAGCAGCAAUAUUGCAUGCUAAUUUCUGUCAUAGAGUGAACCUGAGAACUGGGCCACCACUCUUGGGCAUGGCUGUGGGUGGAGAAGUUACACGGAAUAUGUCUGCCUCUCCUGUCUCACCUCCUUCACCUCUUCCACCUCUGCCACCCUGAGACAGCAAGAAAAACUCCACCCUUUUUUCCUCUUCCUGAGCCUAUCAACAUGAGGACAAUGGGAAUGAAGAUUUUAUGAUGAUCCACACCCACUAAGUGAAUAGGUCUCACCACUGCAGCCAUCAUCAAAAGUGGUUAUUACCAAGACUAGAUUGCAGCUCCGGACAGAGCAGCUGGCAGGGACUCAUAUUGUGAAUUGCAGCUCCAGCUCGACUGCAAGAACAAACCAGCAAUCCCGAGAGGACCCACAGACCCUCUAAAGGAAGUGGACUGCUCCUGCAGGACCUGGGAGACACCCCAAAUAUUAUCUAUAAACUCAAUUUUAGGAAGUCAAGUAUCUUCCCGAAAGUCACACAAGUAAAGAUGGACUUGGGUCUCUAAUCCAUUUGUUUGACUUCAAAACAUGUUAUCUCCAUUCCACUACCUCUUCUGUUCAGUGGAAUGAAAGAGGUUAAAACAGUUCACAGGGUCCAUGGAGUGAAUGAAAAAUGAAAAUGGGAAGAUAAAAUACAGAUUAUAGUUUUCAAGGAUUGGAGCUGGAAGGAGUUGCCUGUUUGAGAGCUGUGUUAAGGUCUGAGAAACAUGUGCAUGUUGUGCACUGCAAGAAAGGAAUCAAGAGGAAGGAGAGGAUGGAGAUAUAGAAGAUGAAAAUCAGCCAGAGUAACAAGGCUCCAGGAAAGCCACAUGGCUAUGUGCAUCCCUUAGAGAAACAAAUUGGAAAAAGGGAUGAGAAAACUGCUGCUCAGAACGUUAAAGGGACUUAUCCAAACUCAUGAGAUAAGUAAAAGGCAGAACAAAGUUUUAAAUCAGCUCUCACUGGUCCUAAAGCCUGUACUUAUUCCACAGUACUAUUGGAAAACAGAGGAGUGCCAAACAAGUGACUCACCUAAAUCAAUGCUGAAGACACACAGAAUAUUGAAGGAUCAACUCUACUUCUUCGAAAUAUACUUUAAUACUUUCACUGCCAAACCAGAGUUCAAGAAAUAACUGCGGUGGAAUGAUAAUGAGAAGUUUAACAGUUUUAUGAUGGUUGAAGCUGACUUUAUGAAAGUUGAUAAAUUUCAUCUUGUAGGUUUCAAUUUCUCAUUCCCUACCGAGAGAUGGGGAGAAUACAUUGACACUGCAUUUCAAAUUGGCUAGAUCAGAAGGAACAGCAGCUAAAAUCCAUUACAACCCAAUUACAUCCAUCAGCUGAAGCUGUGUGCAUUCACUUGUGAACAUCAGCAUUUAAUCCAUAAAGAGGAACUAAUGAGAAAUUUGAAAAUGGAAUCCACGCAUCAGUAAGUUUAGAGAGAUUUUUCUGGGAUUAAUGAUCUGCCAGAGCAUCUUCAGCAUUCUGGAAAGCUAUUCUCUCUGGGUUUGUUUACUGACCAAGAGAAAAAAAAAGGGGGUUUCCUUCUGUCUGCUCAUCAAAUAUUUGAAAGACUACUCAUUUCAGUCCUUGAAAAUGGGAUACCGUGAGCUUUGGAAGUAAGUUCUGAAGGGGUUGCUAUUUUUUGCAAGGUCAAGUCUGGGUCAAGUCUGGCUUCCUGAAACUAUAGCCUGGUGUUCCAUCCUAUAGAAAGGGGGAAAGAGAAAAUGGAUGUCAAGCAUAUGUUUCCAAAAUUUUGAAUACAAGUAACAGACAGAGAAAAAUGGUACAAAGGGUUAAAAGCAGUCUUAGUAACAUUGGAGAUGUGGAGAGAAAAUUAGAAGAGAGAAGCAGAAAUAAGGAGGCCCUGAGUCACAAGUAAG